rnacentral:rRNA from 1 species
UUGUACAGGUGCUGCAUGGCUGUCGUCAGCUCGUGUCGUGAGAUGUUCGGUUAAGUCCGCUAACGAGCGCAACCCUCGCUGUGUGUUACAAGUGUCACACGGAACUGCCGGUCAUAAACCGGAGGAAGGUGGGGAUGACGUCAAGUCAGCAUGGCCUUUAUAUCCUGGGCUACACCCACGCUACAAUGGGAAGGGACAAUAGGUUGCGAAGCCGCGAGGCGGAGCCAAUCCAGCAAAACUUCCCUCAGUUCAGAUUGCAGGCUGCAACCCGCCUGCAUGAAGUUGGAGUUGCUAGUAAACGCAGGUCAGCCAUACUGCGUUGAAUACGUUCCCGGGGCUU